UCUGUCUCUGUGUAAAUGAACACACGUAUAUUUGCUUAUAUAUUAUUGAAAGAGUGAGUUGUACAUGCGUAUGUUUCACCCGCUAGUCAAAACUUAAAACACUACCUAUUUUUCUGCCCUCCCUCAAGUUAUAAAUGUACGGUGUUAGGGCCAUGAGAGUCCUCAUAUUAUGCUUCACAAGGCAAAGCACAAUAUCAGAGACCCUCUCUGGCAAAGCUUCAUCAGCUUUUAGAAUUUCUCAAGAUUAAUUGUGUUUUAAAGCUUCAUCAUUAUCACAUCGCUCCGAAUUAUGAAUCUCUUCUCUUCUUGUAUGGGUGAGUGGAUUCCACGCCGUUCUUGUCAAGUGAGAAGUUUUCUUGUGGACUUCCCUUUCCUUCGUUGUCUGUUCGACCUUGAAACCCUAAUAACCUCUAAUAAUUAUAAGCAUCAUGAUAGAUACUAAAUAGAAGAAGGUAAAAUUCUUCAUAAGAUUUUCAUCGAUUAAACCCAUGUGUUUCUUUAUUCUUAUAUACGUGUGUGUGUAUACCUAGAGACACACCGCCAAGUUAUAUCCUUCAUCUUCAUAAUCAGAGAUUUCCCAGAUUAAAAUACUUGGAGAAUCAAUCUGAGUUUGAAGAAAACUGAUUAAUUUGUUUUUCGUUUAAUGCAUUUGAUGGGUUGUUUUUGCAUGGCAAUCACUCUCCUUAGCCCCUAUCAAUUGCUAUAUUUUCUUUGUUUUUAAUUAGCUUGGUGCAUAUAGAAACCAAAAGUAUAGUACUGGAUUUUAGUUCCUUGGGGAUCGUAAGCUAAAAUUUCCAUACACAUAUAUAGAAGUUAACUAGUUUACACAACCAUUACUAAUAUUACCUCGUGUAAUAUUACUUAUGGUUGUCUAAACCAGCUAACUUACUCUUAUUGAUUGAUAUAUUAAAAUUGGCAUGUUGAUGAAUGAUACUAUGGUGAUCGCCUAACUUAUAAUUAUAACCAUUUAAUAAAUAAAUACUACCUCCGUUCCUAAAUAUAAAAGGAUUAGAGAGGUUUAGUGAAAACGAGAGGAAGAAAGUGGAAACAAAGCAAAAGUACUUCCUAAGUCUGUAAUGUUUAUACUUUGUCCAUAUAUGAUUGCUAGACAAAUUGGGGGGGAUAAAUUAUAAUUAUAUACUCUCUUUUUGCACUGAAAAAUUAUUAAAUACUCUAAUAGUGCUAUGUCAUCUUUAUUCUGUCCAAGUGAAAGUAUUAAGUUUGAUCUCCUUAAUGCAUUCAUAUUGUCUCUUCUCAUCUAAAUAAGUUUUUUUCUUUUCGCAUUCUCUUUUCCACAUAUGGAUUAAAUUUAUUAUAGAGUGUUUUAACGGCAUGAGAUUGAUACUGGCUACACCGGUGCCAACUAUUGGAAGCAACAAAAAAACUUGAUGAUAUUAUUAUCAUCAUUUCCAGUAAAAGAAGUUAGUGAAAAAUGUACAUCUUCAAAGUAUAUAGUCUUGCAAACUAGAUAUACGUAUAUGCUGUCUGCGUUUGUUGGUUUGUACGGAAUUAAAUCUUUACUU